rnacentral:lncRNA from 1 species
GCUCCGCCGUCUGCGGCAGCAGAAUGUUGGCCGCAUCCUCCACACUGUUCACCGCAAACAACCCUUCUUGUAAAUCCUUCUCCUCCAAACAAACUCCGGCACAGCAAAUCACCACUUUCUCCACACAAUCCUUAAACUGCGCCGCCAUAUUAUACGCCACGAACCCACCGUAGCUCAGCCCAACAACGCUCAUCUUCACCACCGAGUUCGCCUCCAUCACGCGCUUCACGCACUCAGC